UGGCAGUGAGGCAGGAAGGAGGAGGAAACGUCAUGAUGAUAAUUGGCUGCUGAAGUAGGAAGAAAUCAAUCAGUGCACACGUUUGUUUCACUUUUCAUCAGGUAGCUCUUGUUCAAAUAUGACAAGAAGUCAUCACCUCAGUCACACAGAA